rnacentral:rRNA from 1 species
UACGUAGGGGGCGAGCGUUGUCCGGAGUUACUGGGCGUAAAGCGCUCGUAGGCGGUCAGUCGCGUCUGCUGUGAAAACUCGGGGCUUAACUCCGGGCCUGCAGUGGGUACGGGCUGACUAGAGUGCGGUAGGGGAGACUGGAAUUCCUGGUGUAGCGGUGAAAUGCGCAGAUAUCAGGAGGAACACCGGUGGCGAAGGCGGGUCUCUGGGCCGUAACUGACGCUGAGGAGCGAAAGCGUGGGGAGCGAACAGG